rnacentral:lncRNA from 1 species
UGUGUGUGUAAGCAUUUGUGUCUGCUUGGGUCUCACAGUAUCUCUGUAUGUUCCCAUAGUCUCCUCUUUGCAUAUAAGAUGCAUGUGAGUCUCCCUGUAUGUCUCGUGUGUGUGUGUGUGUGUGUGUGUGUGUGUGUCUCUCAGGCUGUGUGCAGCUGGGUGUGUCUGACCUUAUCCUAUCUGGAGGAGGUGUCUGUUUGAAUCAGAGUUGGUGGAGCACGUGAUAAUCACCACCCAGGUUAGGCUUUAGGCAAGUAGCCUUCCUUCUGUGCUUGGCCCACAUACUGACGCCAGGCCUCCUCUGCAAGGCCACCUGCUCAGGAAGUUCUGCUUGGUGCAAACAUGGGCCGGUUUUCAGUUCCCACCCACUGAGGUGCCAAGGGAAGCUGUGUAUUCCCUCACCCAAAAUCAAGGGAGAAGUGUGUUUCUAGAAAGGAGACCCUGGACUCCCAAGGCCUGGCCAGGCAUAUGACCCAUGGGAAUGUGAGUGCCAGCAGAGGGAAAGAGGAUAGGAAGGAGGCAUCCUCUCUGAUCAUGUCACCCAGACUCCAGGCUUAGGGCUGGACCCCACUGAUGUCUGGUAAAUGUGUGACCCUUUAUACCCUAUUCUCUUGCAAAGGUCACAACUCCACUGACAUCUCUCAUCUCACCUGUAACUUUAAUUUUUUCAAACUUUAUUUUUAAUGAAGGUUAUUAAAUGCUUUAACCUCCCUUGUAGCCCACCACCCACCAGAGGUAGUGAGGAAGAAAGGAUACGGGGGUGGGUGGGAAGUGGACCUGUUUAGAAAGGUUCUUUGGAGCAACUCCCCUCUGUGUUGUCUGGAAAUUAGCAGUUCGAUUCACAGGUCAGCAGCGGCAGCUUGAUCUACUCACCACACUUCAUGGAAUCACUAGCAGUCCAUUUCGGCAGAAUCAGCAUAGCAAACACAAAUCAGCAGUGGUGGCCCUACACAGCAGAGACAGCCAGGCCUCAGCCUUGGUUCAAGUCAGCAGGAGGGACCUGGAGGAACACCAGGAGAAGUUCUUGCCUGUGCCUCUCAGGGAAGUGAAGAUCAGUGAAGACUUGAGACCCACAAGCACUACACAGCUAGCUCUCCAGGCUGUUCAGCUUUGUUUGCACACUUCCCACCGUGAUGAACUUAUUACCCAUCCACAUAACAGGGCUAAGCGCAGGAAAGACCAGGCACUGACCACAGCAAGGUCAGGGUUGGUAGAGUUCACGAGCAGGAGCAGUGGACCCC